GUGGAUUAGAUACCCUGGUAGUCCACGCCCUAAACGGUGCACACUAGGUCUUGGCGGAUUCGACCCCCCCAGGGCCCCAGCUAACGCGUUAAGUGUGCCGCCUGAGGACUACGGCCGCAAGGCUAAAACUCAAAGGAAUUGACGGGGGCCCGCACAAGCGGUGGAGUAUGUGGCUCAAUUCGAUGCAACGCGAAGAACCUUACCUGGCCUUGACAUGCAGGAGACCGGCGCUGAAAGGCGCCUUUCCUUCGGGACUGCUGCACAGGUGCUGCAUGGCCGUCGCCAACU
rnacentral:rRNA from 1 species